UUUUAAGCCAUUNCGAGUCGAAUGUAGCAAUACAUGGCGAACUGCUCAGUAACACGUGGACAACGUGCCCUUUAGGUUGGGUAUAAACCCGGGAAACUGGGUAUAAUACCCGAUAGGUCUCGAUUGCUGGAAUGCAUCGAAAUUUAAAGCUCCGGCGCCUAAGGAUGGGUCUGCGGCCUAUCAGGUAGUAGUGGGUGUAGCGUACCUACUAGCCUACGACGGGUACGGGUUGUGAGAGCAAGAGCCCGGAGAUGGAUUCUGAGACACGAAUCCAGGCCCUACGGGGUGCAGCAGGCGCGAAAACUUUACAAUGCUGGCAACAGCGAUAAGGGAACCUCGAGUGCCAGGUUACAAAUCUGGCUGUCGAGAUGCCUAAAAAGCAUUUCAUAGCAAGGGCCGGGCAAGACCGGUGCCAGCCGCCGCGGUAACACCGGCGGCUCGAGUGGUAACCGUUAUUAUUGGGUCUAAAGGGUCUGUAGCCGGCCGGAUAAGUCUCUUGAGAAAUCUGGCAGCUUAACUGUCAGGCUUUCAGGAGAUACUGUCUGGCUCGAGGCCGGGAGAGGUGAGAGGUACUUCAGGGGUAGGGGUGAAAUCUCGUAAUCCUUGAAGGACCACCAGUGGCGAAGGCGUCUCACCAGAACGGACCUGACGGCAAGGGACGAAAGCUAGGGGCACGAACCGGAUUAGAUACCCGGGUAGUCCUAGCCGUAAACGAUACUCGCUAGGUGUCGGCCACGGUGCGACCGUUGUCGGUGCCGUAGGGAAGCCGUGAAGCGAGCCACCUGGGAAGUACGGCCGCAAGGCUGAAACUUAAAGGAAUUGGCGGGGGAGCACCACAACGGGUGGAGCUUGCGGUUUAAUUGGAUUCAACGCCGGAAAUCUUACCGGGACCGACAGCAAUAUGAAGGCCAGGCUGAAGACUUUGCCGGAUUAGCUGAGAGGUGGUGCAUGGCCGUCGUCAGUCGUANUGNNNNNNNNNNU
rnacentral:rRNA from 1 species